UGGGGAAUUUUGGACAAUGGGCGAAAGCCUGAUCCAGCAAUGCCGCGUGAGUGAAGAAGGCCUUCGGGUUGUAAAGCUCUUUUGUCAGGGAAGAAACGGUGAGGGCUAAUAUCCCUUGCUAAUGACGGUACCUGAAGAAUAAGCACCGGCUAACUACGUGCCAGCAGCCGCGGUAAUACGUAGGGUGCAAGCGUUAAUCGGAAUUACUGGGCGUAAAGCGUGCGCAGGCGGUUUUGUAAGUCUGAUGUGAAAGCCCCGGGCUCAACCUGGGAAUUGCAUUGGGGACUGCAAGGCUAGAAUCUGGCAGAGGGGGGUAGAAUUCCACGUGUAGCAGUGAAAUGCGUAGAUAUGUGGAGGAACACCGAUGGCGAAGGCAGCCCCCUGGGUCAAGAUUGACGCUCAUGCACGAAAGCGUGGGGAGCAAACA
rnacentral:rRNA from 1 species